rnacentral:rRNA from 1 species
CCUACGGGGGGCUGCAGUGAGGAAUAUUGGUCAAUGGACGAGAGUCUGAACCAGCCAAGUAGCGUGAAGGAUGACUGCCCUAUGGGUUGUAAACUUCUUUUAUAUGGGAAUAAAACGUUCCACGUGUGGGAUUUUGUAUGUAUCAUAUGAAUAAGGAUCGGCUAACUCCGUGCCAGCAGCCGCGGUAAUACGGAGGAUCCGAGCGUUAUCCGGAUUUAUUGGGUUUAAAGGGAGCGUAGGUGGAUUGUUAAGUCAGUUGUGAAAGUUUGCGGCUCAACCGUAAAAUUGCAGUUGAAACUGGCAGUCUUGAGUACAGUAGAGGUGAGCGGAAUUCGUGGUGUAGCGGUGAAAUGCUUAGAUAUCACGAAGAACUCCGAUUGCGAAGGCAGUUCACUGGACUGCAACUGACACUGAGGCUCGAAAGUGUGGGUAUCAAACAGGAUUAGAUACCCCAGUAGUC